AACGAACGCCGGCGGCAGGCCUAACACAUGCAAGUCGAACGCCCCGCAAGGGGAGUGGCAGACGGGUGAGUAACACGUGGGAACAUGCCCUUCGGUUCGGAAUAACUCAGGGAAACUUGAGCUAAUACCGGAUACGUCCGAGAGGAGAAAGAUUUAUCGCCGAAGGAUUGGCCCGCGUCUGAUUAGCUUGUUGGUGAGGUAACGGCUCACCAAGGCGACGAUCAGUAGCUGGUCUGAGAGGAUGAUCAGCCACACUGGGACUGAGACACGGCCCAGACUCCUACGGGAGGCAGCAGUGGGGAAUAUUGGACAAUGGGCGCAAGCCUGAUCCAGCCAUGCCGCGUGAGUGAUGACGGCCCUAGGGUUGUAAAGCUCUUUUGCCUGGGAAGAUAAUGACGGUACCAGGAGAAUAAGCCCCGGCUAACUUCGUGCCAGCAGCCGCAGUAA
rnacentral:rRNA from 1 species